rnacentral:tRNA from 1 species
UAAAAGAUAAGCUAAAUAAAGCUUAUGGGCUCAUACCCCAUCUAUGAGACUAACGUUCUCUCUUUUAA